rnacentral:rRNA from 1 species
UACGUAGGGUGCAAGCGUUAAUCGGAAUUACUGGGCGUAAAGCGUGCGCAGGCGGUUGUGCAAGACAGAUGUGAAAUCCCCGGGCUCAACCUGGGAACUGCAUUUGUGACUGCACGGCUAGAGUGUGUCAGAGGGGGGUAGAAUUCCACGUGUAGCAGUGAAAUGCGUAGAUAUGUGGAGGAAUACCGAUGGCGAAGGCAGCCCCCUGGGAUGACACUGACGCUCAUGCACGAAAGCGUGGGGAGCGAACAGG